rnacentral:rRNA from 1 species
UACGUAGGGGCAAGCGUUAUCCGGAAUUAUUGGGCGUAAAGAGCGCGCAGGUGGUUGAUUAAGUCUGAUGUGAAAGCCCACGGCUUAACCGUGGAGGGUCAUUGGAAACUGGUCGACUUGAGUGCAGAAGAGGGAAGUGGAAUUCCAUGUGUAGCGGUGAAAUGCGUAGAGAUAUGGAGGAACACCAGUGGCGAAGGCGGCUUCCUGGUCUGUAACUGACACUGAGGCGCGAAAGCGUGGGGAGCAAACAGGAUUAGAUACCCU